rnacentral:tRNA from 1 species
GCGUGCCCGGUGCGAAGACAAGAGUUACUUCGGCUCAUAACCGAGUGGACGCGGGUUCGAGUCCCGCCGCGA